rnacentral:rRNA from 1 species
UACGUAGGGGACCGAGCGUUGUCCGGAAUCAUUGGGCGUAAAGAGCGUGUAGGCGGCUUGCUAAGUCUUGCGUGAAAUCUCGGGGCUCAACCCCGAGCGGUCGUGGGAAACUGGCAGGCUAGAGUGCGGGAGAGGAGAAUGGAAUUCCUGGUGUAGCGGUGAAAUGCGCAGAUAGUCAGGAGGAACACCGAUGGCGAAGGC